CUUCUCACUACUGCACUUGACUAGU
rnacentral:piRNA from 5 species